UAUAUAAUAUUUAAUAGAGUAUUUAUAUGUUAUACUCUUCCGAGUUCGCUGGCAUGUGUUAAAAUGGGCCUUCGUUUUCUUUUAUCCGCCUUCAUUGUUGGGCCCUAUUUGCGCAAAAUUGAUACAUCGAUGGGGAUGGACUCUUGACGCUGUCGAUCAUCACUAUUCACUAGGACUAGUAACAACUAACAACAAGUCAUUGCUUCCUGCAGAAUUCAUUUCCCACGAUCAAUUUAAUUUGGCUGGACAAAGUACAGCGUUUUUUUCAUGUUCCCUGUACGUAACUAAAAAGUAAGAGCAUGCACAUAGUUGGUACUCAUAGAGUAUCAUCAACAAUUUUUUAUUAUUAAUUUUAAUGCUUGUUUAUUGUUUGAG
rnacentral:sRNA from 1 species